GUUGUAUUCAUAAUUAUAAUAAAAAGAAUGAAAAAUAACAAUUAAAGUGAUCUAUAUCUUACUCCUUCCCUCCUGCUCUUAGAAAGAAAAGAAAUGACCAAAAAAUUGGUCAUUCAUUGGUUGGUCGAUUGGUUAAAGGGAAAGCAGAACACAGAAAGGUGGAGAUAGGUGGGGGACAGGUUCAAGAUAUAUUCUAAACAUGUCAGGCUGGGUCUCUCCCUGGAGUUCUAAAUACUGACAAAUGUUCCUUUUUCCUUUACUAGCUUGGGAUCCAAUUGGAAAGGCUGAAUGGCAGUGUCUAUUGCCUACCUCUCAGCACCCAAAAAAGGAGCUGGAGGUGAGGCGGGCCAUUAAAGCCUCUUAUGUUGUAAUUAACGUUGGAGGGGAGAAGAGAGCUGCCUUCAGAAUGGAUGUGAUCAUUUAAUUAGGCUUAUGCGUCAGUGCCACAACAGGGCACUGCAAACAACAGAGAGGAACAUGGAAGGCUCAGGAAAGAUACUAGCCUUCUACCCUCAAGGAGGUUACAGACUACCUGGGGAAUGAGCUAAGAACAAAGAGACCUAUGACCCACAAUAUCUGAUGAUAAAUGCAUUAAAGAAGUCACAAAACAAAGUGCCCUGUGGCUUCUGAAGGGAAACCAUCAUUUUCUUCUCCAUCUGGGGUCACCCUCACCCCAGCACAGAGCAAUAAAUUUGUUUCAUUUCUAUACA
rnacentral:lncRNA from 1 species